CUACAGCACACAUGAAUAUAGCUACCAAAUCAAGAAGUUUGCAACUACCGGGAGCUAACAAAGCAAAAACAAAAGCCAUUCUGUGAAAAUAUAACUGAUUUUAGAAUAUCCUAAGCUGUUAUUUCAUGUUCAAGGGAAGAUUGUUUAAAAAAAAGGAAAGAAGUUGCUUCUGUAAAUUAAGCCUGAUUUCUUUUUGGAGCAAGGAGGAUAUCCUGGAUUGAGGGUUGACAAGAGCUCUGUGCACAGGACUCUGCACUUAUCCAAGAGAAGAAUCUAAAGAAAUCAGAACAGCUCAGGUAGUUUUAGA